AGGGGAAGAAGUUGCUUCCUCCAGAUUGAUCGAUCAAUUUCAUGUCAAGCUGCUGCUGCAAAUCUUGGAGUUAAAUGGGAUUUUUAAACUCUUGUAGAAUCAAAAAUUCUUUAGCUUUGGAAGAGACUGUUUUGGAAAGUUCUUCCUGUGAGGGGGUCCUAAGUCCAGGCUCAAAUCAAAGAUGGAGUUUACAUCCGGUUGCCAUGGAGAAAGGGGGAAAUACUCACCAUGAAGACCGGCUGAUAUGCCGUACCUUAGGAAGCAAAUUCACAGAUUUCUUUUGUGCUGUAGCCAUUGUGGGGAUGGCUGGACUGGGACCAGACAGAUGAUGGAAACACCAUGUUCAGCACCAGGGAAACAGCUUUGACAAGACCCUGAGGGAGACCCUACCCCCACCAGGGCUUAAGGUACCCACCAGAGCCCAGGACAAAUCCCUUUUCUCCAGCGGGAACAGGGGAGGCUUGAAGCAGGGUGCCCCAUAUCCCAGCUGCCUUAAGUGGACACUCAUUCCUAUCCCUCCCACCUCCACAGAUCAGAUGAGUGUAUGAACAAGCAGCUCAGAUGGUUCCUCUUCUGAAAGACUAAAUGGAGUUCUGCAGGGGGAUUUGCUGCAGUUCUACUCUGCAAUGCGGCUCCAUAAAAAGCAUGCUAGGGCUCUGUCAUCUCUGAAUUUCCACACCAAAUUGUGCUCACUUUACAGUUGCAGGUGGGGGUGAAACCUAAGCCCUAACUUUGGAUCCAGAUGUCAACACUCAUCAUUUGAGGGUGUUUCAGACCAUUAUAGUGAAGGUCCAGCUGUCAAACAAGGCUUAGAGGAGGAGCUACAAUAUCAUUUGAAGUGAAACUCACCAUUUAAAUGAGUUGUGACAAGCCAACAGAAGGCGUUCUUUAGGACAGCAUCUGCUCUUUUCUACAGACUCCGAAUUCAUCCACAUGGCACUUCUGAGUGACUAGCCCUUCUUUAAGGCUGUUGGAUAAACACUAAUAGUACCCCAUCUAUUUUAACCUUUACAUCAUCUCUUCUCUCCUCACCCUGACUCCCACUAAAUGCUGUUGAUGCUGGUGUGCUCAGAUCUGAGUCCAAGAAAGAUUAACUCCUAAAAUCCAGUUUUGGAACCAGAUGUGAGAAUGGCAAUGACUCCACAAGCUGUUUUAGCACGAUGCAGAAGAGGCAAAGUUUAUGCAUGAGGUCACAAUUCAGAGAGGGAAGGGUGAGGGCAGCAACAUACAAAACUCCAGGAAAGCUGAGAGCCCUGGAGGCCAUUCAUUUAAAUGUAUAGUGAAAGGGAGACAUGCAGAACAUGCCUAUCACGUUCUUAAAACAGAGAAGGGCUGCUAUAUCGAUUUAAAGGCACUUUUACUUUGUUCUUAGCAUUCUGAAGACAUUUAAAAGGUGCCAAGUCAAAGUUUUGACACCAAGACAGGAGGUUUAAGGGCUUGUCAGUCCUUGUAUUCCAGAACGAAUUAAGAGGGGAUGCUACAGCUCCCUUCACUUCUACACAACAGCCUUCACAACUCUUGUAUACAAUAUAGCCUGCUAGCAUGGAUUUAAACUAAAAACAUCAGAACUAAGCUCUCCCAGGGUGGAAGUUAGAGCUAGAUCAUUGUACUAUAAAAAUCCCCAGUUGUAUCUGUCACUGCCAGCUAGAGGGGUGGGUGGAGAGCUGAGCAGUCAAUGGCUGGGCCAGCUUGCUUUAGAAGAGUCACCUUUUCUGUAACUGGUGUCCAAGAUGUGGUGCUCAUGUCCAUUUCAGAUUAGGUGUGUGCACUUGCCCCAUGCACCAGUGUCAGAAGUUUUUCCCUUAGCAGUAUCCAUAGGGGGACAGGCUCUGACAUCCUCUGCAGUGGUGCAGCUGGCUCCCCCCCACCCUCAGGUCCUUCUUACCGGAAACUCCAACAGUGGGGAAGGAGGCUGAAUCCCCACGGAUUCCAGGAGUACCAUGCUGCUGGCCCAGAGGCCACGGGGUCAGUUGCGGUGCAGGUGAAGUCAACAGUACCACGGGUGUCAGGGCCUGUCCUGCUACCGGGGACUCCUGAUCAACAUCAGAGUUGUAAGCAGAAAGGAUGCUGCAGAGUGACCAUGACCGGCUGGCCUGGCAGCCCUCCUUCCCAGUGUGCCAGCUGCUGUGCCACAAGGCCAACCUGUCCAAUUGGGAUGAGUUUCUCCUGCAGGACCCUGGGGAUCUUCAGCAUUUGGCCAAUCUGCAGCAGACCAGUAAUCUACACCUCACAUGCUGCUUGACCUGUACUGGGAUCUAGAGCAGGACCAGGAGUUGGAGCAGGCUGGUCAUCAGUAAAAUCUCACUGAUCAAGGGGAUUUGUCUCAGUGACAGGUGCCAGCAGGCAGGUGACUGGUGACCCUGUUCCACUGACUGGUCGCAGGACUGGUGCCAAGGCAUUGGAGACAUGACCUCUUGGGCUUCUUGGCCAGGGCCAGGGAAGGGGAGGAGAAUCAGUGGCAGCUUGGGGACUGCACCAGCAGGGCACACUGCACUGCUCAGGGCCGAGUCAAACCUCUGCUCCAGUAAUGAGUCAGCACCGACUCAAUCAGGAGUGCCCAGAGAGGGAGGUCUCUCCUUUUUCAUUCUGGGUUUGAACAACUUACAGAUGUGACACUUGUAGCUUGUGUCCUCCUAGCCACCUUAAACAGCUAACGCAGCCUAGGGACAGGGCAUGAGUCCUGUCCAGGAGCAACUAACACUAAGGGUAAAUACUAAACUAUUUUACAAAGAAAUGGUGGUGAGACACACUGAACUAAGUGAAAGCUAGCCAAGGCAGCAAGCAGCAACUGAGGGUGGGGAGGAGCCAGUGGCACCCCUCAUACUGUGCCUUCUGGGUGCCAGCCAGUGCCUUACAGAUGCUAUUAUGGGAAAAAACUUCCAGCACCCGUGCAUGUGGCAAGCACACCCCCCAAAUAUGGAAUGGACAUGAGCAAGCACUCGAAGAACAGUGUAGUUCUGGCACUUCUGAGGGAGCAUGCCAGCAUCAGCCUGUACCCAGGGAAUGAAUUUGGCAUUUCAGAACUAGCUAACUUGGAAUGUAUUUUGGAAACAAUCUGAACAUGAACAGCAGCCAUGGCUCAGACAUUGGAGCACUUGGUUUGUUAGACAGCUGCAGCCUGAAGACAGACAGCUCUAGAGUAGUCCUCACUGUUGGUUUACAUCACUUUUGUCCCCUUCCCUCCACAAAGGUUAGCAGGGGCCAACUGUGCUGUGGAUGCUCUUUGUGGUGGGGGAGAAUACUUCCCCCUCAAUAGCAGUGAGCAGCAGUCCUUUCCUUCAAGGACUCACUAUGAACUGGAGUUGUAGGUGUGCAAAAAAGGAAAAAAACUC